rnacentral:misc_RNA from 1 species
AAGUCGUAACAAGGUUUCCGUAGGUGAACCUGCGGAAGGAUCAUUAACACUUUCAUUUUAUUGAAAAUUUAUUUUUCAAUAAUUUACUUACCCACAUUUUUGGAUGAAUUAUUUCUUUUUUAUUCUUUUUUAAAUUUUAUACCCCAAACAAAAACUAAAUAUAUUAUUUCUAACAUUUAUACACAAAAAGUUUAAGAAAAACAUAAAAAACAACUCUUAACAACGGAUAUCUAGGCUCUC